AGCGAACGCUGGCGGCAGGCCUAACACAUGCAAGUCGAACGGACCCUUCGGGGUUAGUGGCGGACGGGUGAGUAACACGUGGGAACGUGCCUUUAGGUUCGGAAUAGCUCCUGGAAACGGGUGGUAAUGCCGAAUGUGCCCUUCGGGGGAAAGAUUUAUCGCCUUUAGAGCGGCCCGCGUCUGAUUAGCUAGUUGGUGAGGUAAUGGCUCAUCAAGGCGACGAUCAGUAGCUGGUCUGAGAGGAUGACCAGCCACAUUGGGACUGAGACACGGCCCAAACUCCUACGGGAGGCAGCAGUGGGGAAUCUUGCGCAAUGGGCGAAAGCCUGACGCAGCCAUGCCGCGUGGAUGAUGAAGGUCUUAGGAUUGUAAAAUCCUUUCACCGGUGAAGAUAAUGACUGUAGCCGGAGAAGAAGCCCCGGAUAACUUCGUGCCAGCCGCCGCGGUAACAC
rnacentral:rRNA from 1 species